rnacentral:rRNA from 1 species
AGUGCCGUUCGCAAGAUAAAAAUAAAAAGGAAUUAACGGGGGCCCGCACAAACGGUGGAGUAAGUGGUUAAUUAGAUGCAACGAGAAGAACCUUACCUGGUCUUGACAUCCCGGAGAUGUCCUGGAAACAGGAGAGUGCUUUCAUUAGAGAGAAUCCGGUGACAGGUGCUGCAUGGCUGUCGUCAGCUCGUGUCGUAAGAUGUUGGGUUAAGUCCCGCAACGAGCGCAACCCUCGCCAUUAGUUGCCAUCAUUUAGUUGGGCACUCUAAUGGGACUGCCGGUGUCAAACCGGAGGAAGGUGGGGAUGACGUCAAGUCCUCAUGGCCUUUAUGACCAGGGCUACACACGUACUACAAUGGCCGACACAAAGGGCAGCCACAGGGUGACCUGGAGCGAAUCCCGUAAAGUCGGUCUCAGUCCGGAUUGGAGUCUGCAACUCGACUCCAUGAAGUUGGAAUCGCUAGUAAUCGUGGAUCAGCAUGCCACGGUGAAUACGUUCCCGGGCCUUGCACACACCGCCC